UCUGGCCGGCUCGCUCAAGCAAUCUCGGACUCUAACGCUAACAAAUCUGGGGAAACUUGAACAGGAAAGCUAAGAAAAGCAUAAUUUAACUUGCUCUUCCUUUAGCGGACAUUGUGUCGAAGUGUAAUUGCAGAUUGCAAACCUUCCGUGAGGGGAUCACCCAGAUUUCCGUUGAGAUUAUUUUGUCAUCAAUCGUUCAACACUCUCUUUCAAAUUCACAUUGCUACAAUGGAUAGUACAGUCGCAUCAAAUGCACUUUUCUCAAUGCCAGCCUUUCAAAUGAUUGGCAAGAAAGCAGCAAAGGAAAAAUUUGCCAUACUGUUGGUGGGACCUGCGAACCUCUGUGCCAGUCUAAGGGACGAAAUCCUCACCGUCAAUCAUGAAAAUCAUUAUUAUCAAAUGAACAUACACAUGUGCGAACUCGUUGAAGAUGUCAUUAAAUCGUCCCAACAGUGUCAUGCAGAUUUUAUAGCAUUCCUUAUUGAUCCUAGCGAUAAUUCCGCUGUCGAAAUGGUGGAGAGGAGCAUUAGCGUUCUUGGACCUCUUUACUUGUGCAGCAGGCUUUGUUUGAUCAAUUGUUACGAUGUUACACCUCUAGAGACAGAUGCUGAACAGAUCCAUAAUCUUGUAGACAAAUUCUCCGUGCUGAUAAUGCACGGUGACCUGGCGAAUGCAGGAGCUCGCAAUUUUCUGGCACAAAGAAUUAUCUACCUGUCAUCAUCAGUUUGUGGGUUCAAGACUGGUCUUCCACUUGUAUUUGAUCUGCCAAGCUCGAAAAUCGUCAGUAGUUAGUGAAGCAGCCAGCUGAAAUUUUCAAAAUUUAUGUUAUUUAUGUUCAAAACUAACACCCACACUUUAACCAGAUGAAAGGAACUGUUUAUAAUUUCAUUCAACUGUUUUCUCUCCGCCAACCAGCUUUCAAUUAAGAUUAGAACAAGGUUUGUUCUGUCAAUUUUAAAAAUUAGGAUAAUACUUUAGCGGUUGUGUAAUGGAAACAAUGCCUCUUCAGAUCGUAGAAGUUAUUCAUUUUAAAUUGUAUCUACUCUGUACUCUAUCUUGAUUAUCGCUUCAGGAUGAGAUUUUCAGAACACGAACAAAUAAAGAAACGAGCAAGAAGAAAGAUCGUCUUUGUCUUAGAACAACUGGCUUUGAAAUAAAUUUUGUUAAAUGUUUUGUGCUAAGUUUCAGUUACAAUAGCAGUCAACGCACCAAAAUUCAUGUUGAUUCACCCUCAAAAUGCAGAAAGAAACUAAUGCGAUGACAUUGUUGUUUUAAAAAUCGUGCAUCUUCAUCUUCCUCCCAAAAA